rnacentral:rRNA from 1 species
UAACGCUGAGAUACGAUGUCGAGCUACUACGGUAGUGAAGUCAUUGAUGCCAUGCUUCCAGGAAAAGCCUCUAAGCUUCAGAUUGUAAGGAAUCGUACCCCAAACCGACACAGGUGGUCGGGUAGAGAAUACCAAGGCGCUUGAGAGAACUCGGGUGAAGGAACUAGGCAAAAUGGUACCGUAACUUCGGGAGAAGGUACGCUCUUAUCAGUGAAGUCCCUUGCGGAUGGAGCAGACGAGAGUCGCAGAUACCAGGUGGCUGCAACUGUUUAUUAAAAACACAGCACUGUGCAAAAUCGUAAGAUGACGUAUACGGUGUGACGCCUGCCCGGUGCCGGAAGGUUAAUUGAUGGGGUUAGACUUCGGUCGAAGCUCUUGAUCGAAGCCCCGGUAAACGGCGGCCGUAACUAUAACGGUCCUAAGGUAGCGAAAUUCCUUGUCGGGUAAGUUCCGACCUGCACGAAUGGCGUAAUGAUGGCCACGCUGUCUCCACCCGAGACUCAGUGAAAUUGAAAUCGCUGUGAAGAUGCAGUGUACCCGCGGCUAGACGGAAAGACCCCGUGAACCUUUACUACAGCUUGGCACUGAACAUUGAACCUACAUGUGUAGGAUAGGUGGGAGACUAUGAAAUUGCGUCGCUAGAUGUGAUGGAGUCGUCCUUGAAAUACCACCCUUGUAGUUUUGAUGUUCUAACGUUGGUCCCUGAAUCGGGAUUACGGACAGUGCCUGGUGGGUAGUUUGACUGGGGCGGUCUCCUCCCAAAGAGUAACGGAGGAGCACGAAGGUGGGCUAAACACGGUUGGACAUCGUGUGGUUAGUGCAAUGGCAUAAGCCCGCUUGACUGCGAGAAUGACAAUUCGAGCAGGUGCGAAAGCAGGUCAUAGUGAUCCGGUGGUUCUGAAUGGAAGGGCCAUCGCUCAACGGAUAAAAGGUACUCCGGGGAUAACAGGCUGAUACCGCCCAAGAGUUCAUAUCGACGGCGGUGUUUGGCACCUCGAUGUCGGCUCAUCACAUCCUGGGGCUGAAGUCGGUCCCAAGGGUAUGGCUGUUCGCCAUUUAAAGUGGUACGCGAGCUGGGUUUAGAACGUCGUGAGACAGUUCGGUCCCUAUCUGCCGUGGGCGUUGGAAAAUUGAAAGGGGCUGCUCCUAGUACGAGAGGACCGGAGUGGACGAACCUCUGGUGUUCGGGUUGUCAUGCCAAUGGCAUUGCCCGGUAGCUAAGUUCGGAAUCGAUAACCGCUGAAAGCAUCUAAGCGGGAAGCGAGCCUUGAGAUGAGUUUUCCCUGGCGCUAUAAGCGUCCUAAAGGGUUGUCGUAGACUACGA